rnacentral:rRNA from 1 species
UACAGAGGGUGCAAGCGUUUUUCGGAAUUACUGGGCGUAAAGGGCGCGUAGGCGGCUUUGUAAGUCAGAUGUGAAAGCCCGGGGCUUAACCCCGGAAGUGCAUUUGAAACUACAAGGCUUGAGUGCAGUAGAGGUUGGUGGAAUUCCCAGUGGAGAGGUGAAAUUCGUAGAUAUUGGGAGGAACACCUGUGGCGAAGGCGGCCAACUGGGCUGCAGCUGACGCUGAGGCGCGAGAGCGUGGGUAGCAAACAGG